rnacentral:rRNA from 1 species
GACAGAGGUGCCAAGCGUUAGGCGGAAUCACUGGGCUUAAAGCGUGUGUAGGCGGACUUGUAAGUACCUUGUGAAAUCCCACGGCUCACCCGUGGAACUGCUGGGUAUACUGCGAGUCUUGAGCCACUUAGGGGCUGUCGGAACAGACGGUGGAGCGGUGAAAUGCGUUGAUAUCGUGAGGAACACCGGAGGCGAAAGCGGCUCACUGGGGCUUCACUGACGCUGAGGCACGAAAGCUAGGGGAGCAAACGGG